CCACCGGCCCUUUUCAGGGCCAUCACAUCCACAAAAAGAGCUAGAUU
rfam:Branchiostoma floridae genomic scaffold BRAFLscaffold_174, whole genome shotgun sequence.